GACGUAGGGCGCGAGCGUUGUCCGGAUUUAUUGGGCGUAAAGAGCUCGUAGGCGGCUUGUCGCGUCGAAUGUGAAAACCCACAGCUCAACUGUGGCUUGCAUUCGAUACGGGCAGGCUCGAGUUCGGUAGGGAGACUGGAAUUCCUGGUGUAGCGGUGAAAUGCGCAGAUAUCAGGAGGAACACCGGUGGCGAAGGCGGGUCUCUGGGCCGGAUAACUGACGCUGGAGGAGCGGAAAGCG
rnacentral:rRNA from 1 species